GACGAACGCUGGCGGCGUGCCUAAUACAUGCAAGUGGGACGCAAAGAAACACACUGUGCUUGCACACCGUGUUUUCUUGAGUCGCGAACGGGUGAGUAACGCGUAGGUAACCUGCCUAUUAGCGGGGGAUAACUAUUGGAAACGAUAGCUAAUACCGCAUAAUAUUAAUUAUUGCAUGAUAAUUGAUUGAAAGAUGCAAGCGCAUCACUAGUAGAUGGACCUGCGUUGUAUUAGCUAGUUGGUAAGGUAAGAGCUUACCAAGGCGACGAUACAUAGCCGACCUGAGAGGGUGAUCGGCCACACUGGGACUGAGACACGGCCCAGACUCCUACGGGAGGCAGCAGUAGGGAAUCUUCGGCAAUGGACGAAAGUCUG
rnacentral:rRNA from 1 species